UUCAAGCUGAGUCAUAUUUUACAAUUUCGGGGUCAAACUACAAGAUGCAAUAGGUUAACUACAUGAAACUACUUUCGGAGACUCUGAGGUUUCAUGAUUACGAUCUUUUCCAAAAAUAAAUGUUUUGUGAAUUAUGAGUUGAAAACUAAAGUACGAGUAUUUAUUAAAAGAUAAAUGUGAUGCAUCGUGUAUCGUGAGCUGUAUAAAGAUAAAGUUUCGGAGACUAGCAACAAUGUAGAAUAAUUUGAGAAAAGAUCUUCAAAAAAAAAAACAAAUGCACAAAUCUUUCCUGGGGAUAGGGUUUGCGCUAUAUGUUAUGAGAAAUAUGUAGGACUUUAUAUAUGUGCAUGUAUAUUUCCAAGUUCCUUUCCUUACGUUAUCAAAACGGCUUGGGCCUAGUUCCAAAUAUACUUGACGAAUUUGUAGAAACUGCAUUCAAAUAUUAUAAUAGUUGAGGAAGAGAAGGUGACUUUUCCAAUUAUUUCAGAAAUACGUAGUAAACGCGCAUAAUAUAAUGGGAUCCAUUUACGAUAUAGUGUUAAAACUUGCAGAUCUGUGGUUGCCGUGUUGGUGGUCGGUGAAAGAAACAAGUGUGUUUGGAGAGUUUUGUAAUGAAUGUAAACCAAAUCACCACAGCAUGGGCAAAUGGAUAUCUGUUUUUUGACAAUUUAUUGACGAAAAAUAUUAAACAAGAUGGAAUCUUGGUGCUUCAGGUAGGAAAUGUUUUGUAUAUAUCUUAUGUAAGAAGUAUGGAUAAAAGGUUGUUUGGCUAAUCAGCGCUUUAUUUCAUAUUUGGUAACGUAAUUGUUAUAUCAGCAAUGCUUGAAAUGAAAUUGACAUCUUUUAAUUAAUAAACU
rnacentral:lncRNA from 1 species